AACAACGCUGGCGGCGUGCCUAACACAUGCAAGUCGAACGAGAAAGUCGGCUUCGGCCGAUGAGUACAGUGGCGCACGGGUGAGUAGCGCGUGGGUAAUCUGCCCCCCGGUCAGGAAUAACCCGCCGAAAGGCGGGCUAAUACCCGAUAACACUGACGCUCCGCGGAGCGUCUUUCAAAGGAGGCCUCUGUUUACAAGCUUUCGCCGGAGGAUGAGCCCGCGUACCAUUAGCUAGUUGGCAGGGUAAUGGCCUACCAAGGCUGCGAUGGUUAGCUGGUCUGAGAGGAUGGCCAGCCACACUGGAACUGAGACACGGUCCAGACUCCUACGGGAGGCAGCAGUGAGGAAUCUUGCGCAAUGGGGGAAACCCUGACGCAGCAACGCCGCGUGAGUGAGGAAGGCCUUCGGGUCGUAAAGCUCUGUCAGAUGGGAAGAAAUGGGUGGGGGCUAAUAUCGCCCAUCCUUGACGGUACCAUCAGAGGAAGCACCGGCUAACUCCGUG
rnacentral:rRNA from 1 species